rnacentral:rRNA from 1 species
UACGUAGGGGGCAAGCGUUGUCCGGAUUUAUUGGGCGUAAAGAGCGUGUAGGCGGCCAGGUAGGUCCGUUGUGAAAACUCGAGGCUCAACCUCGAGACGCCGAUGGAAACCAUCUGGCUAGAGUCCGGAAGAGGAGAGUGGAAUUCCUGGUGUAGCGGUGAAAUGCGUAGAGAUCCGGAGGAACCCCAGAGGCGAAGGCGGCAGCCUGGUUCGUACCUGACGCUCGGACACGACAGCAUGGGGAGCGAACGGG